rnacentral:rRNA from 1 species
UACGUAGGGUCCGAGCGUUGUCCGGAUUCAUUGGGCGUAAAGAGCUCGUAGGCGGCCACUCAAGUCGAAUGUGAAACCUCGAGGCUCAACCUCGAGCCUGCAUUCGAUACUGGGCGGCUAGAGUCUGGUAGGGGGAUCUGGAAUUCCUGGUGUAGCGGUGGAAUGCGCAGAUAUCAGGAGGAACACCGGUGGCGAAGGCGGGAUCCUGGGCCAGUACUGACGCUGAGGAGCGAAAGCGUGGGGAGCAAACAGG